rfam:Aureobasidium pullulans var. pullulans EXF-150 unplaced genomic scaffold scaffold_2, whole genome shotgun sequence.
UCUUCAUUGGUCUAGUGGUCAUGAUUUCCGCUUGUCAAGAGUAAUGUCUCGUCAAGCGCGGGAGACCGGGGUUCGAUUCCCCGAUGGAGAG